rnacentral:misc_RNA from 1 species
UCUCCGGCUGGCGGAUCUGACACUGUCGAAAUGAGAUGCGAGUGGUGUAGGGUAGGCUCUAGGGUAAGUAGAAUUCUAGUUUCGUCGCCGACAGUUUUCUUUGGGUGUAUGGUAGGUACAGGGUAGGCAAAUCUCUCUCGGGCCAGUACUUGUCUGGUGGUCGUGAGUCGAUUUUUUUGUUUUGCCAUACUAUUGAAUUUUGCGGAAAUUCAAAAGUGGCUCGGGAGUCCCCGCCUGGCGAGCGUCCGACUCGAACAUCGUCGGUGUACAUAUGAGAGGGAGUAAUCCGGCCCGGCCGGGGCCCAUCGCGAGCUGCCGGGUAGGUAAAAGUNAAAAANUUGUUAAGAGGCGCGGUGUCCGCGUGCUUGUAUUUGCGGGAGGGAAUUAUCUGGGGGUGCUGGGUAGCCGGGAAGACUUGGACGGAUCUGGCCCUGGAAUGGGUCUGGGCCUGGAUUCUGGAGUGGUGUAGGGUAGGCGUAGAUAGAUGAGUGGUGUAGGGUAGAUACAGGGUAGCCAGAAGUCUGGUAUAUAGUAUGGGGGUGUAGGGUAGGUCUGGACACCGUUUUCCACUUCGCCCUUCCCUUUAGUCAAGGGAGGACGAUCUUGGCUGGGACGGAGGUGUAGGGUAGGCUUAAUUUACUAUUACAUGAUCUGUGUCACUCUAGGGUAGGUGAAAAUCCCAUAUAUAUCUGAUCACAUUUGGUGAAGAGGUGGUUUGGCUGGUGAGAUGGACAAAAGUGCAAUGUAGAAUUAUAUGNGAUUUUGCAAAANUNGGUGNAAAUUGGGAAAUCGGUUUUCCNNACAG